ACCUGGAGCAGGAACCGGCAAGCCACUCCAGUAUCCCUGCCAAGAAAAUUCCAUGGACAAAGACAACAAACCCAGAAAUAGACCACAGCAAACCAAACACCAGCAGCCUGAGCUGUAGCCCUGGAAGUGCUUGCUGAAAUAAAUUUCACUGAGCAGAUGACAUGAGUGACAGAAAUGGAGAGUGCAGCUUAUGAAGGCCUGGCAUAUAGCAAGCCUGCAGGAAAGGUAAGCACAGCUAUCAAACACAUUUUGUAUAAGUGCUUCUCCGGUUGGAAUGAUUUUUGAAGUUUUUUAGGCCUGCAGGUUAAUGUCCCAGGAACAUGUCGAUGCGGCUGAGAGGCAAGACCAUGAACCUGGAAGAUAGAGACGGACAGGUUCUCUGGGGAGCGGAGAUGAAGCUAAGCAGGUUAAGAGCCUCACCUGUCACAGGCGAACUACCUUCACAAGAAAGCGGAUGUUGAACAAAGACAGGGAGCCGCUGACAAGAAUUUCCAAAUGUGCAAGCAUCGCUGUAGUAGCAAAGGUGGUCAGAAGGCAUACCAGGAUAUCCAGGCUGACAUGAGAUGGAACAAAUAACAAGAAAAGGAGCCUCCAAGGAAGCUUGCAUUACCACACAGACAUUAUUUCAUAUACAGAAUUUGAGUCUCCUUGGUUUCUUCCAAUUCUGAGAAGGUGUGUGCCAUUAUACAACAUUUCUGGAAGUUGCCAGUAUGGAUACAAUCUCAGAAGUGUGUGUGUGAUGAAGUUGAUUAUGAGCCUCUACUUCAGGGGUGGGAAACCUCAGAUUCUACCCGGUCCUUGGGAUUUUCCUUCCACCACUCCCCUUCCCAAGAUACGCCCUUCAUUACGUCUGCUUUCCACCCUUCUUGAAUGGUUUUGCCUCGUAGGAAUGUGUCCCUGAACUCUGAUGAUGCUUCCAGCUUGUGUGGGUGGAGCAUAGAGUGAAGUGUGUGUAGAAAUGAAUCAGUGGUUCAGACAUAUAUCCAAUGCUCCAACUACUUUUGCCUCUGGUCUGGUCCAAUGCAACAUUGGCAUGUUGUGGUCCUUGAAGGUUUCUUAGAAGAGAUUGUGACUCUCAGCUUGAAGAACGUUCUCCACCCCAUACUGUCACCUUCUCCUGCCUGUCAUUAACAAUGCUAUGUCUCUAUGUUAAGAGGAACUGUGGCAAUAGUCUUGUUUAAAAUUGACCCCAUCCAUUAACUCAGUGGGUAGCCUUGUGGGAUGCAAGUGCCUUUCGACUUCAUUCCCUCAUCUAUCCUACAGAGUCCACCAUAAUGACUUAAUUUACAGGACUACUGUGAGAAAUAUUCCAAAUAAGCAUGAAUUUUUUUUACUAUUUGACGUUCGCAUAGCACUUUCCCCUAAUGCGCGUGAACUUUAUGUAACUUUGCAAAAAUCCUUACAAUUGAAGUGCAUGUGAUUAGAGAACCUCCAAGUGUCUUUGUAUCUCCAAAGUGAUAUAUCAUGACUUUCAGCUGUGCCUCUGCACUGCUUUUUAAAAAUACCUACAUGGGUCUUUAUGUGCAGACAAUGUCUUAUGUCCAGACAGUAUGGGAGUACCUUGGACUCCCUCAUGUAGUUCAAUACUUUCUCAUUAUUUUCCCAAGUUGAAUUGCUACCUCUCCAAAUAAGAAUACUUUAGUAGAUAGUGAUAAGAUUGUACCAUAUCAUGCCUUCACAAAAGCAAAUAAUGUUAACUCCUGGUACCAUGGGUGAGAAUUAAAACUGAAUUAUUAUUUUUUGCCAUGUGAGAUCCACGUUCCUUCUAGCUGUUGGAGGACUGUCAAUACAUACUCCAUGGGAACCAUCCCUUAGUGAGUCUACUGUUCAUUGCAACAGGUCCAAGGGGCUCUUGAUGCUGGGCUCUCUGUUGGGGUUUCGGCCUUUGGCAGAUGACCAGCCCUGCUGACCCUUCACACGAGCCCUGUGUGAGAAGGAUUACUUUUGAAAGUAGCUCUAUGGAUUGAGCUAUGCACAUUUCUCACUAAUGCCAUAUACCAAGGGGGAGUGAGAUGGAAACACCCCAAACCAUACUUUCUCUGUGAGCAAAAGAACCAAGGCCACAUUAUCUUGCUCCAAUUAAAUGAUGUUUUCCCACAGAAUGUUAGCUUCAGGGUAGUCUUCUGAGGCACUUGACGUACUUCAUCUUAAUUUCUGGGUAAUGUGGUGCUGACAAUCAUUUAAGACAAUGUAGCUGAUAGGCCAGUCUCCCCCAACCUCCAAAAAAUGUUUUUUGCCUAGCAUAUCCUGGUGACACUUUUCUGAGAUGGAUGUCUUCCGCAGAAUUUGAUUAAUGUAAUGCAAUAAAAGAGAUGUGCACUAA